GAAGAAGGCCAGGUAAUCGCUCUGAUUUCAGGUUGCUGGAAUCAGGGAGGAAAGUCCGGGCUCCGCAGGGCAGGGUGUCCUGAACAUUCAGGAUCCCGUGAGGGAAGGAAAGUGCAACAGAAAAGAUACCGCAGGAAAGCCUACGGCUUUCACUUAUGGCUAUUAGCCAAAAGCUAUAAGCUAUAAUGUGUGGCGCAAGCCACCUGUAAGGGUGAAAAGGCGAGGUAAGAGCUCACCUUCUGGUAUGGUAACAUACCGGGAUUGCAAACCCCACCCGGAGCAAAGCCAAGUAAACUCGCUAUGGAACUGCCCGUUCCGGAUGAUUUAUAUCACCAGCGAGAGGGUAGGCUGCUUAGAUAGAUGAUUACCGUCCUGAAUCCUUUCAGGAAACAGAACCCGGCUUAUGGCCUUCUUCAUUU
rnacentral:RNase_P_RNA from 4 species